rnacentral:pre_miRNA from 1 species
AAUAAACGAAUUUUUGAGUUUUUGGAUGGAAUUUUUAACUCUUCAUCUUAUUUGAAAAUUUUUUAAUGAUUAAUAUUUUUAUUGCUACUAUAUGAUAAAAUAUAAUAAUACUUUACGUGCAACUAAUUUUUUCAAUUUUUUAAUAAAUUUUUUAAAUAAGACGAAUGGUCAAACGCUCGAACUACAGCACCGAGA